CUUACUAUGCAUGAGCUAGACGCACAGUAUACCGUAGCUUGCUACACCAUAGACUGUGAGUUGCGAACGGGUGAGUAACGCGUAGGUAACCUACCUAUUAGAGGGGGAUAACUAUUGGAAACGAUAGCUAAUACCGCAUAACAGUAUGUAACACAUGUUAGAUGCUUGAAAGAUGCAAUUGCAUCGCUAGUAGAUGGACCUGCGUUGUAUUAGCUAGUAGGUAGGGUAAAGGCCUACCUAGGCAACGAUACAUAGCCGACCUGAGAGGGUGAUCGGCCACACUGGGACUGAGACACGGCCCAGACUCCUACGGGAGGCAGCAGUAGGGAAUCUUCGGCAAUGGGGGGAACCCUGACCGAGCAACGCCGCGUGAGUGAAGAAGGUUUUCGGAUCGUAAAGCUCUGUUGUUAAGGAAGAACGAGUGUGAGAAUGGAAAGUUCAUGCUGUGACGGUACUUAACCAGAAAGGGACGGCUAACUACGUGCCAGCAGCCGCGGUAAUACGUAGGUCCCGAGCGUUGUCCGGAUUUAUUGGGCGUAAAGCGAGCGCAGGCGGUUAGAAAAGUCUGAAGUGAAAGGCAGUGGCUCAACCAUUGUAGGCUUUGGAAACUGUUUAACUUGAGUGCAGAAGGGGAGAGUGGAAUUCCAUGUGUAGCGGUGAAAUGCGUAGAUAUAUGGAGGAACACCGGUGGCGAAAGCGGCUCUCUGGUCUGUAACUGACGCUGAGGCUCGAAAGCGUGGGGAGCGAACAGGAUUAGAUACCCUGGUAGUCCACGCCGUAAACGAUGAGUGCUAGGUGUUAGGUCCUUUCCGGGACUUAGUGCCGCAGCUAACGCAUUAAGCACUCCGCCUGGGGAGUACGACCGCAAGGUUGAAACUCAAAGGAAUUGACGGGGGCCCGCACAAGCGGUGGAGCAUGUGGUUUAAUUCGAAGCAACGCGAAGAACCUUACCAGGUCUUGACAUCCCAGUGACCGCCCUAGAGAUAGGGUUUCCCUUCGGGCACUGGUGACAGGUGGUGCAUGCUUGUCGUCAGCUCGUGUCGUGAGAUGUUGGUAGUCCCGCAACGAGCGCACUCCCUUAUUGUUAGUUGCAUUCAUGAGUGGGCACCUCUAGCCGGAGAAC
rnacentral:rRNA from 1 species